UCCUGAGGUUGAAUGAAAAAGUAUUGUGCAAAGGAUCAGCAAAUAAGCAGUACUGUUCAUUGCUGCCAAAACAAACCUAUUUAAAUGUGGAUGAAGAUGCUGCCAGCACAUUAGAACGCAAGAGAAAUGUUAUCUAUUGCAUGAUUGUACAGAUCAUGAAAUCUGAGAAGGAACUUCAUAUCGAUAAUCUUGUAUUCAAGGUAAUUGAAAGGUGUCAGAACCAGGAAUCCAGUUUAGCGCAUAAGUUCCUUCACUUUAACUGCAGCAAUAUGGACGUUUUGUCUUGCAUCAUGCAUCUCAUCAACAAAGGUUACAUCAGACGGAAUGACGACAACCCUCACAUUCUGGAGUAUGUGCUUGAGGACCCAGCAACCCCUCGGAAAGGACAAGCACAGACAAUAUUCAGAAAACUUGGAACAAAAACCAUGGAGCCAAAUGACAAAGAGAAUCUGUCCUUAUUUAGGUAACACCAAAUUACCAGCGAUCUACAUCCAUAUAUCAAUUAACUUCAGUUGUGCGACUGGCUUUGACUGCUUGCUUUUUACAUCAGUUUGCACCUUAGCAUGUGGCUAUAACAGAUCUUCAGUAUGAGAGAAACUGCUUUAACUUUUGCAUUUUGUGGGUUUAAAGCUAUGUAGCUGGACUUUCUCCAGCUUUUAGUUUUUCAAUUGAGAUUCUCCGUUUGGACCAAUUGGCCAAGUAAUGUGCACUACAAGAAGAUAGCUUUCAGUGUAUUUAAGGUAAGGUAGACAGCCUUCAAUAAAAAGCAGAAAUGUGCAGGAUUUUUAGAACUUCACAGCCCAAAGUGUCACCUGUACAACCUGGGGGUAAAGGUUUUCCAUUUCUUUGGUCUCAAAGUUGCUUUCAAUCAGCACUAGGAGUCCUUGGUGCCGUGAGCAAGUGGCCGUUCAUCAUGCAUGAGUGAGGACACUAGGUGUUUUUCUUUAUCUUCACUUGCUCCCCUCUAAUCCAUGCUUGCUGAGAGUUAAUAUGCCCUUCUGUUUUGCCAGUUAAGGUUGACACAGACGUGGUGACCCAAACUACUGUUAAGUAAACUUAGCAGAGCCAAUGGGGCAGUCUGGUUUACAGGGUUCCAUUUUGUAUCGAGACAAACAAGGUAAUGUUAUGUACAAUAAUCACUAUUGCACCUUCAGCUUUCAAGUCACCAGUCUAGAAUUUUAAAAUGACUACAGCCUAUAUGUAGCAUACACAGUUGGACUUCUGCUGUAUGCAGUAGGUUGAAUCAGGCAAGGUCACACGAGUAUUAAAUGAAAAAUUAAAUCUUGGAAAAUUUGCAUUUGUCAGGAUUGAAUUUGUUCUAUUGGUAGAAUCAACCAAAUAGUAUAUUACGACAGAAACAAUGUGUAACUGCUUUAUUGAACCUAAUCAUCAAAAGAACAACAUUAUGUCACCUCAUGUCUCCUGCACUGAUGCAUGUUUGUACUAGCGUCUGAGAUUAGAUUGUUUCAUUUCAACCAUUGUUGUAAUAAAAUGUUCUUUACAAAUUU